rnacentral:lncRNA from 1 species
AUGGCUGGGAAUAGAAGUUGCUGGGUGGGGCUGGCUCUCAGCCACUGCUUGGGCAUAAGAAAACACUCCCAUCUGGGGGGGAGAGAAAGGGCAGGGAAGGCUUGGGGGAGGGAAGGACAAACUCCCACCCACCCCAGGCCGGGUACGCGAAGGGUUCUGUACAGGAGAAAGGACGCACGGGAGGGACACUGUCUUCAGGGGGCUCUCUGGAGCCACACUGCCUACGAAAAGUAUUUACACGUAUUUGCCACGCUGUGCACUAAGCUGCCGGGUGGGCACCGGGGGGGGGAUGCUGGACCCAUCAGCCCUUAGAUGGCAACUCCAGGACCCAGUCUUGGCAUCUCCGUAAAUCUGUACAGUUCGUGGGCUUCUAUUUACAGGCAGGAGGCCUGAGGAAGCAAGUCCAGGGUGGUGGCUGUCAGGAGAAAUCCGGGAGAGCCCAGGAGGUGGUGGCCACUCCGCCCCACCGGAGAAGCCAAGAUAGGUUUGCUUCCUGUGCCCGGGGGCC